UGGGGAAUAUUGGACAAUGGGGGGAACCCUGAUCCAGCCAUGCCGCGUGUGUGAAGAAGGCCUUAUGGUUGUAAAGCACUUUAAGCGAGGAGGAGGGUACUGGUAUUAAUACUACCAGGUACUGGACGUUACUCGCAGAAUAAGCACCGGCUAACUCUGUGCCAGCAGCCGCGGUAAUACAGAGGGUGCGAGCGUUAAUCGGAUUUACUGGGCGUAAAGCGUGCGUAGGCGGCUAAUUGAGUCGGAUGUGAAAUCCCCGAGCUUAACUUGGGAAUUGCAUUCGAUACUGGUUAGCUAGAGUGUGGGGGAGGAUGGUAGAAUUCCAGGUGUAGCGGUGAAAUGCGUAGAGAUCUGGAGGAAUACCGAUGGCGAAGGCAGCCAUCUGGCCUAACACUGACGCUGAGGUACGAAAGCAUGGGGAGCAAACAGG
rnacentral:rRNA from 1 species